UACGUAGGGUGCGAGCGUUAAUCGGAAUUACUGGGCGUAAAGCGUGCGCAGGCGGUUUUGUAAGCCAGAUGUGAAAUCCCCGGGCUUAACCUGGGAAUGGCAUUUGGGACUGCAAGGCUUGAGUGCGGCAGAGGGGGGUAGAAUUCCACGUGUAGCAGUGAAAUGCGUAGAGAUGUGGAGGAACACCGAUGGCGAAGGCAGCCCCCUGGGUCAAGACUGACGCUCAUGCACGAAAGCGUGGGGAGCAAACAGG
rnacentral:rRNA from 1 species